CGUACUUGUUACUCUUGACCAUCGCUGUACUUAUUCUCUUGUACAGAAGCUAUUGCACACUUGAACAAAACUGGCGAGUGAACAGUCUGCCUUUCACACAGAGCUCCAAAAUCAAGAUGUUAGACGCUGGUGCAACCUGAUGCCAUCCCUGGUGUCACAGAGCCUUCAUGCGAGACCAGAAUCCAGAAAAAAACAACGUUGGAUUAGUCAUUCAUCAGUCAAGCUCAUGUAUGCACCUACCCUAUCUGACUCUGUUGAAAAAAUUUGGUCUGGAAAUCCAAUUAUUAUACGCAUAAAAUGGUUCACCACUGCCUUGAAUCGCUCAUUAAUGAGAUGGGGCAUGAGUUGUUCAAAAUUCUGGUCACUGUGGUACAAUGCAGGAAUGGUCUCAACAAUUCUACUGUUUCCAAUAUCGAUAGUAGUCAUUUUAAAGUGACACUUAAUAUUUGGCUGUACAAUUCAGCAUCGCCAAAUGAAAA